GAUGAACGCUGGCGGCGUGCCUAAUACAUGCAAGUCGAGCGAACAGACGAGGAGCUUGCUCCUCUGACGUUAGCGGCGGACGGGUGAGUAACACGUGGAUAACCUACCUAUAAGACUGGGAUAACUUCGGGACACCGGAGCUAAUCCCGGAUAAUAUAUUGAACCGCAUGGUUCAAUAGUGAAAGACGGUUUUGCUGUCACUUAUAGAUGGAUCCGCGCCGCAUUAGCUAGUUGGUAAGGUAACGGCUUACCAAGGCAACGAUGCGUAGCCGACCUGAGAGGGUGAUCGGCCACACUGGAACUGAGACACGGUCCAGACUCCUACGGGAGGCAGCAGUAGGGAAUCUUCCGCAAUGGGCGAAAGCCUGACGGAGCAACGCGGCGUGAGUGAUGAAGGUCUUCGGAUCGUAAAACUCUGUUAUUAGGGAAGAACAAAUGUGUAAGUAACUAUGCACGUCUUGACGGUACCUAAUCAGAAAGCCACGGCUAACUACGUG
rnacentral:rRNA from 1 species